CUUGCCUUUGCAAAUAAAGGGAUACGCCAUAUCAUGGUUCAAAUGUACAGCAAAACAAAAAGAAAAGAAAAAGAGAAAGGUGAAUGUAAGAAAAGAAAAUCCACUUGACUAUGGUGUUUGCAGCAUUUUCCUUCUGCUGUUCAAGUGUUGUGAUGUCAGAUGGUCCAGUCAACAGCUGUUGGACGGCUUCUUCUUCACUCCACGCAGGUCUCUGUUCAGAAACUGUGACUACUCAGUCUAAAGCAUCCCUCAUCUGUCUAAAUUCUUACCCCACUUUAUCUUCCACCGUAGCACUCAUCCCCACCUGGAGUUAUAUUAUUGGUUCGCUUGUUUAUUGCUGCCUCCCUACUGGAAUGUGAGCUCCACGGGGCAAGGAUUUCAUCUGUCUUCUUCAUCAUGCUCUCUCUAGUGGCAAGAACAGUGCCUGGCAGGUAGCAGGCACUCGGUAAAUAAUUGUCAAAUGAAUGAAUGAAUAAAUAAAUAAGUGGAUAAAUGACUUCUGGAGAAGACAAUUUAAUUUUAGCACACUACUUGACCCAACAUGAAUAACAUUACUAUAGACAUGUUAAAUGCUUUAUAUUUAAUCAAUUUGAUUUAAUCUAUAAACAAUCAUUGCUAAACAAAGUUGGAAUAGGAAGAGGGAAAGAAAAGAUUGUGGGAAGGAAGAGUGUUGAUAACUCAACUUACAAAAUGAGUGGUUGAGAUACAUAUGAAAAGUGAUGGAACAAGAAAUAGAGGUUUAGGUAAGUUAUUUAAAGGUGUAAAGAUAAUUAAUGGAUAAAGCACACACACAAUGAAACUUUGGAAGGCAGAGAGGGAUAGCAAGGAGGUAGCAGAAUUGAGCCAUACAUUUAUCUUUUACAUUAGAGUCAAGAGAUGUUAUCUAGAGUUAAUAAAGUAAGAAAAAAGGAUGAGUAUGUAUUCUGGAGUAGUAGAGGCAAUGAGCUAAAUAAUUUUUUUUUAUUGUGGUAACAUUGGUUUAUAAAAUAAUAUAACAUUCAGGUGUCCAUCAUUAUAUGUUGAUUCCUGUGUAGAUUACAUCAUGUUCACCACCCAAAGACUAAUUACAGUCCAUCAUCACAUACAUGUGCCUAAUCACCUCUUUUGCUCUUCUGCCUACCCCUUUCCCCUCUGGUAACCACUAAUCCAUUCUAUGUCU
rnacentral:lncRNA from 1 species